rnacentral:rRNA from 1 species
AUUGAACGCUGGCGGCAGGCCUAACACAUGCAAGUCGAGCGGAUGAAGGGAGCUUGCUCCUGGAUUCAGCGGCGGACGGGUGAGUAAUGCCUAGGAAUCUGCCUGGUAGUGGGGGAUAACGUCCGGAAACGGGCGCUAAUACCUCAUACGUCCUGAGGGAGAAAGUGGGGGAUCUUCGGACCUCACGCUAUCAGAUGAGCCUAGGUCGGAUUAGCUAGUUGGUGGGGUAAAGGCCUACCAAGGCGACGAUCCGUAACUGGUCUGAGAGGAUGAUCAGUCACACUGGAACUGAGACACGGUCCAGACUCCUACGGGAGGCAGCAGUGGGGAAUAUUGGACAAUGGGCGAAAGCCUGAUCCAGCCAUGCCGCGUGUGUGAAGAAGGUCUUCGGAUUGUAAAGCACUUUAAGUUGGGAGGAAGGGCAGUAAGUUAAUACCUUGCUGUUUUGACGGUACCAACAGAAUAAGCACCGGCUAACUUCGUG